rnacentral:lncRNA from 1 species
GUUCGAUCCCUGGCCUGGGAACUUCUACAUGCCACAGGUACAUCCAAAAAUAAAUAAAAAUAAAUCUCCUCCUGUCUUCCACCAAGUGAAAUGUGAGUUUGGAAAGGGAAAAAUUCUCAACAGUGCAUCUCAGUUUCAGAGAAAUCAUGACAGCUCUGCCAGCUCAAGGCUCAAAGUCUUGAGUACCCAGCCCUUCAGUUUUAGGUAGGGCAUAGGUGUCAACCAGCAGGCUGAGUUGAUAACAAUCACUUUGUGACCCAACCACCCUCCCACACCCCCACCAAAUCAGCUAGAUAGAAUCUGGCAGGGCUGAUAAAUUGCUACCUUAGACAGGUGGAAGCAAGGGGGAAAUGCAGGCCAAAAGACAGCAAAAAAAGAAGCGUGCAAAAACGAAAGCAAAAAAACCUGAGACUGAACCCUAAUGCAUCUGGUGCAGGCUCUUGCAAAUUCCCAGCUGCAUGAGGACCAAAUUAGUUAAUAAGAAAUGAAUACAAAAAUGCCUGAGCUCAGUGGAGCUGUCCUGAGUUUCAUUUCCUGAGAAGGAGCUUCUAACAGUGAUCCAGGAAAUUCUGGCCACCUGCAGUGUGCAAAGGCAGCUGGCCAGGCAAGGAAGCUGGCGCCAGGUCCCAGGGCCCCUCCCUGGAGGGAGCAAAGGCCUCUCGGGUUGCAGCUGCAGAAAGAGGGAGGAGAGAAGAGGGACAGGAUGGAGUGGAGAGCCUUGGAGGCAGUGGUUUGGACAUCAACUCGGUCCUGAGGUUGUCAAGUUUAAUCCUCAACUCCUGAAAGUUCCCAGAAGCAGACAUUCUUUUUUUUUUUUUUUUUUUUUGCAUUGUUCUGUUCCAGGAGCUACGAACUCAAGUGUCUACAGAACAUGUCAGAUAGCAUAAACAAGAGAAGUGGCCAAGGCUAAUAAAGAUCAUUCAGCUCUCUUGGUCUGGCUUUUG